GAUAUGCUGUGCAAACGUAGCCUAUGUGUCUUGAAUGUUAGUAGAAGACUAAAUUUAAACUGUUAAAUUAUAUAGACUAGAGUGAUCGUGUCACUUUAGAACACUUGGAAGAGACCACGCGAUUCAUAUGCAUUACUUUUUUUUGCGAUGACUUUUUGAAACGUGAACAGUUUUGGUGAAUCGUCUUUCAUCGGAGGGUUAUGAUACAUCAAAAUAUCUCCGUUUUUCUUUCGUGUGGCUUUUGGAACCCCGUUAUUUUUUGACUCCAGCUACAUUUAAUUUGACCAAUCAAAGACGCUAUCAGAUGAAGAUGCUGCACGCAGAAGUUACUGAUCCUGUGAUAAAGCAGCCUUUAUUACUACAUUGUCUGAAUUACAAGCCUUCAGUUGCAGAAAAUGCAAGUCGUGCUCAUAGAAGUGACCCUCCACUUGAAGAUGUGACGUUUAAACUCUUUUGUUUCUUUGUAUGGUUCAGGCAUUUGCAUGCUUACAUUUGUAAAAAAAAAAAAAAAAUAAAUAAAUAAAUAAAUAAAUAAAUCUGUACUUUUCAGUAAUACGGGCAUAACUGAAAUGUUUUAUUUAUUUGAAUGUAUUUUGAUCAAAAGAUUAAAUGCUGCUGUACUUUUUUAAUGUACUGUAAGAAUAUUUGUAAUGGUGUACACAAUAUGUAGUGCAUUAAAGUUUUUAGAUUUCAAAGUGUGUAUGUAUGUGUGUAUAUAUACAGAUAAAAACAGCUUUAUAAUAAACCA